rnacentral:lncRNA from 1 species
UUUGCCUUUUUGAUUUGAAAACGUAAUAUUUUUCAUGGAUUUGAUUUGGUUCCACCAGGGAGCUGAGAUAAGCCGCUCAGUCUGAGCUGCUGAGCUGGCUCUAAUGGCCCUUGUCUGCUUCAUACCCAGUAUCCAGUGAGUUCUCAGGCUCCCUCUCCAGCUGGGAUGGGGGCAGAGGCCUCCUGUUCUGUAAGCACACCUGCACAGGAGGCUGGGACUACCCUGAGGGGCUCAAAGAAUCAGUCUUCCUCACUGAAUGACUAAGGUGGUCCUGGGUGGCAUACCUGGGAAUAUGCCAGCUCCUUCUGUGCAUUUCAACCCUCAUUCAGUCCCCGUGCCCCUCACAUGCCCGCUGAUUGGCUGCUGGAGUGGGAUCCCUAUCCAUCUGGCUUUUGGAAGGUAGGGAACUCAUUCCAUUCGUGUUUGCAUCCCUGGUGCAAGCUUAUCAUGAUAACAACCAUUUCUGACAAUGUUGAAGCCUUUGUCCAGGGUUGGUACACUGUUUAGCACUGUCAACAUCCCUGAUUAUACUUUAAUCCCCAUAACAGCCCUCUGCAGUUGAUACAAUUGUUAUCCCCAUUUAAUAGAAGGGGGGAAACUUGAGUUUUAAAAGAUUAAGGAAUAUAUCAAUGCCGACAUUCCCUUCUAGCAAGAGACCAGGCUGAGCCUGAACUCAAGCUGGCCUGAUCCCACACCUCCUGCCCCCAACACGGCCUUCCCCUGCCUGGCACAGCAUCUGGGGAGUCUCAGUGACAUGCGGGUGAAGAAGGUAUGGACGCAGGCUUUCCUUCCAUCCAGGGCCCCCUUGGCUGCUGGGUGAGGGGUACUGCGGACCAGCUGACUUCCCAGAAGCCACAGCUCCCUUCACGCCAUUUCUUCUAAACAGCCUGCCCACUGGAUUGGGCCCCAUGUUGCUUGGAUCUCUCUGAAAUGCCCUUGGUCUGCUAAUCCAGGUAGAUCCUGUACCUGGCCCUCCCGGCCCACCUGGCUGCAUCUAGAAACUGGCUUCUGCAGCCAGAGAGCGAUACCCAGUCUUUCAUCCUGUCUUUCUCCCUGCUCUCUGCCAGCUUUUCUUCCACUUUUCAGCUUAGUUAACAUCCGGGAUCUCCCUGGAUCCACUAUUUGAGAAGAAUGAUUCGGCACUCAGGACUCUCUGAAAGGAAAAGACUCCAAGGAAUUUCUAAUCAAUUCCCAAAUCAAU